UAUUCCUGAAGGUUUCUCCAAUGAAGGGAGUCAUGAGAUUUGGAAAGAAGGGCAAGUUGGCACCUCGGUAUAUUGGACCUUUUGAGGUUACUGAUAGAGUUGGAGCAGUUGCCUACCGGUUGGAGCUACCACCCAACCUCUCUCACGUUCAUCCCGUGUUUCACAUCUCCAUGCUCAGGAAAUACAUUCCCGAUUCUUCUCAUGUACUACAGCCGGAUGUGAUAGAGCUAAAAGAGAACUUGACAUUUGAGGAGCAACUUGUAGCCAUAGUGGACUACCAAGUGAGACAGCUGAGAUCAAAACAGAUCCCUAUGGUUAAGGUUUUGUGGAGGAGUCAGUUAGUGGAAGAGUGCACCUGGGAGUUAGAACGGGACAUGCGUAGCAAGUACCCUUAUCUGUUCAAUGUAUAAUCAUGUGCUUUAUUCUGCCUUGUGUAAAAUUCGAGGACGAAUUUUCUGUAAGGGGGGAAGAAUGUAACACCCCUGAUUUUUUAUAUAUUAUUAUUGGGCUUCGUGUAGGUAUCCUCAAUUCGCGGAAAUUCGACAGUUGUUCAGAUCUGUGAAUUUCCGGCCAGACAGACCAGCUACCGGAAAAGUCUCCGAAUUGGAUCGAGGUUUUGGCUACCCCACCAUUGUCAGGCAUCCCGAGCGCGUUCCCGAAGUCGGAAUCGGCAAAGGUGAGCCGGGACAGCCUUCUUCCUCCGCCCAGCCGCCAUUGUAAUUUGUCGUCAAGUCUGCCACAGGAGGAUAUUUAUUCUGGGUUAACCUGCUUUUAUACUUCGCAGGUUGUUUAUCGAUAUUUGUGUAAUUUUAUUUACUCCUAGAAUUUCCGCAUGUGUUAGCAGUAAUUAUUUGAAUUUGGUCUGUAAUAUUAUAUUCAUGUUGGACCUGUAAACUUAAUAUUUUAAGUCUGUUUUGAUGGAUUGGAUGAGGAGUGAGCUCCCAUUUAUUAUUAA